AUCGUGUGUCCUGCUGUAAGGAUAGCAUCGUGUGUCCUGCUGUAAGGAUAGCAUCGUGUGUCCUGCUAUAAGGAUAGCAUCAUGUGUCCUGCUGUAAGGAUAGCAUCAUGUCUCAGGUCCUGUGUGAUAUCAUGAGGCUUUAUCUACCUGUUGUCAUGAGGCUUCAUCUACCUGUUGUCUCAGGUCCUGUGUGAUGUCAUGAUGCUUCAUCUACCAGUUGUCUCAGGUCCUGUGUGAUGUCAUGAGGCUUCAACUACCUGUUGUCUCAGGUCCUGUGUGAUGUCAUGAGGCUUUAUCUACCUGUUGUCUCAGGUCCUGUGUGAUGUCAUGAGGCUUCAUCUACCUGUUGUCUCAGGUCCUGUGUGAUGUCAUGAGGCUUCAUCUACCUGUUGUCUCAGGUCCUGUGUGACGUCAUGAGGUUUUAUCUACCUGUUGUCUCAGGUCCUGUGUGAUGUCGUGAGGCUUCAUCUACCUGCUUGUAGGCUACACUUCAAAUUGAUCCCCUCAUUUACUUGUUGUGUAUUUAGUGCUUGUGCACGUUCCCCGUGAGCGCACGACGGGUUAUUUUGUGCCCAUUUUGCUUGUUGUUCUGGUUGCCGUUGGUUUUGCUUAAUAAAUCUCCGGUUAUUACCCAGUUCUGCUCUCUUGCGCCUGACUUCUCUGCCGCCCAUUACGCACCCCGCUACAAGAAGACUGUUUUAUGGCUCUGUGAUGUUAAGAGCUGGGAUUUCUCUAUAUUUUACUAGCUGUAUCCACCUUGUGGUUCUCUUACCUUCUCCUUCAGCUCCACUCCUCUCUCCCUCCCUCUCCCCGUCCCUCUCUCCGUCCCUCUCCCCCAUCUCUCUCCUCCAUCCCUCCAAAAAUCAGAGCGGGCUGCCUCCUCUUCCAUGUGUCCUUCUGUCCACUCCGUCUGUGCUUCAGUCUGGGCCACUGGGUGUAUGAUGACAGACAGUCCCUGAACAACGGCUCAACACCCACAAGAGACAGGAGGUGAUGCAGAGAAACAGACAAAUUACCCUCUAAAACUGACAGAGGAUUACAUUCUACUGAAUCAUAUGAGAGAGUGGGUUCAAUUCCCGGGUCACAGAUAUGUAAAAAAAAUAUACACUGCUCAAAAAAAUAAAGGGAACACUUAAACAACACAAUGUAACUCCAAGUCAAUCACACUUCAGUGAAAUCAAACUGUCCACUUAGGAAGCAACACUGAUUGACAAUAAAUUUCACAUGCUGUUGUGCAAAUGGAAUAGACAACAGGUGGGAAUUAUAGGCAAUUAGCAAGACACCCCCAAUAAAGGAGUGGUUCUGCAGGUGGGAACAACAGACCACUUCUCAGUUCCUAUGCUUCCUGGCUGAUGUUUUGGUCACUUUUGAAUGCUGGCGGUGCUUUCACUCUAGUGGUAGCUUGAGACGGAGUCUACAACCCACACAAGUGGCUCAGGUAGUGCAGCUCAUCCAGGAUGGCACAUCAAUGCAAGCUGUGGCAAGAAGGUUUGCUGUGUCUGUCAGCGUAGUGUCCAGAGCAUGGAGGCGCUACCAGGAGACAGGCCAGUACAUCAGGAG
rnacentral:lncRNA from 1 species